rnacentral:rRNA from 1 species
UUAGUGGCGGACGGGUGAGUAACGCGUGGGAACCUGCCUUGCGACCGGGGGAUAACACUUAGAAAUAGGUGCUAAUACCGCAUAAGCGCACAGAGCCGCAUGGCUCGGUGUGAAAAACUCCGGUGGUGCAAGAUGGACCCGCGUCUGAUUAGCUGGUUGGCGGGGUAACGGCCCGCCAAGGCGACGAUCAGUAGCCGGCCUGAGAGGGUGAACGGCCACAUUGGGACUGAGACACGGCCCAAACUCCUACGGAAGGCAGCAG